rnacentral:rRNA from 1 species
UUUCUUCGGAAAUGGAUUAGCGGCGAACGGGUGAGGAACACGUGAAGAAUCUGCCCUCCACUUUGGGAUAACACCGGGAAACCGGUGCUAAUACCGAAUAUUGAAACAUAAGUGGCAUCACUGAGUUUUGAAAGAAUUUCGGUGGAGGAUGACUUCGCGGCCUAUCAGCUAGUUGGUGAGGUAAUGGCUCACCAAGGCAACGACGGGUAGCCGGCCUGAGAGGGCGACCGGCCACACUGGGACUGAGACACGGCCCAGACUCCUACGGGAGGCAGCAGUGGGGAAUAUUGGGCAAUGGAGGAAACUCUGACCCAGCGACGCCGCGUGCGGGAUGAAGGCCUUCGGGUUGUAAACCGCUUUCAGUAGGGAAGAAGCGAAAGUGACGGUACCUACAAAAGAAGCACCGGCUAACUAUGUGCCAGCAGCCGCGGUAAUACAUAGGGUGCAAGCGUUGUCCGGAAUUAUUGGGCGUAAAGAGCUCGUAGGUCGUUUGUUACGUCGGAUGUGAAAACCUG